GGGAGGUAGUGACAAUAAAUAACAAUACGGGGUUCUUCGAAUCUCGUAAUUGGAAUGAGUACAAUUUAAAUCUCUUAACGAGGAACAAUUGGAGGGCAAGUCUGGUGCCAGCAGCCGCGGUAAUUCCAGCUCCAAUAGCGUAUAUUAAAGUUGUUGCAGUUAAAAAGCUCGUAGUUGAAUUUCGGGGUCAGCAGGUUGGUCUUGCCACUGGUAUGUACUGGCUUUACUGGUUCCUCCUUCUUGAAGAACUGUAAUGUCAUUAAUUUGGUGUUGCAGGGAAACAGGACUGUUACUUUGAAAAAUUAGAGUGUUUAAAGCAGGCUAACGCUUGAAUACAUUAGCAUGGAAUAAUGAAAUAGGACGUUUGAUCCUAUUUUGUUGGUUUCUAGGAUUGACGUAAUGAUUAAUAGGGAUAGUUGGGG
rnacentral:rRNA from 1 species